CCUGCCCUACGGGGGGCAGCAGUGGGGAAUAUUGCGCAAUGGGGGAAACCCUGGCGCAGCAACGCCGCGUGCGGGAUGAAGGCCUUCGGGUUGUAAACCUCUUUCAGCAGGGAAGAUCCAAGACGGUACCUGCAGAAGAAGCCCCGGCUAACUACGUGCCAGCAGCCGCGGUAAUACGUAGGGGGCAAGCGUUAUCCGGAUUCAUUGGGCGUAAAGCGCGCGCAGGCGGGUUGCUAAGCGGGAACUCUAAUCUCAGGGCUCAACCUUGAGCCGGGUCCCGAACCGGCAGC
rnacentral:rRNA from 1 species